rnacentral:lncRNA from 1 species
CAAAAUUGUGCAAGCAACCCACUAGCUAGUUUUAUUGAAUAUUAAAAUAACAUAGUUGAUUUCUAAAACAUACAAAAAUUAUUAUCUCAUCAACGCAUAAUUAUUUUGAGAACCAUAAGGUUGAGAUUUAUCCACCCAAAAACUAUUGUGUUGUUGUUGCUGGUGUGCAAUUAAUCUUGCAGGGACAGUUGAUGAAGCAUUCUCCAAGAUCUGGCCAGCACAAGUUAUCUAUUUGACAGCAGAAUUCCCGUCCUGGGAGCUGGUGCCCAUCUUUAUAACAAGGGGGUCUAGUUACAUGGCUUACUUUGCUCAUCAUGUUUCUCCCCUUGUUGUUUAUGAUUUCACCUAAUUAACAUAAAAUAAAGAAUAUACUUAUCAUCUCAUCAUAUAAACAAUAAAAGUCCACAAUAUCAAUACCACCAAAAAAUCGAGUUGUUAAUUACCAUAUGUGCCUCCAAGACAAGUCAAACACACCACAAGAAGAAAAGAAAGUAGCACAAGUCCUUGCACAUUGUUCCUCGUGAACUUGGUCAUCGUCACUAAGGAAUAGAGGCUAUUAAUGGGUGGUACUCUUUUAAGUGGAGUUGAUGAGUGUAUGACCGUGAAAUGCUUGCUCCAUGAAUGGUUCAUAUAUAUAUAUAGGAAAAGCUUCUCCGUGUUGAUGUGUGAAGUUAUAGAAAAUAUUAAUGCUUGGAGUUAUGGCUUGUGUGAAUUUCCAAUUUUAGUUUCACUUCUAAAGAUUCAUGGUUCCUUCUAGAGUAUUUUUCUCAAAUUUAUGCUUUGUCAUAGCAUGUAAGUUACUUUAAUGCCCCCUCUAGAAUUGAUCGCUCAUUGUUUUCAAGGGGUAGAAUUGACCUCUUAGAAUGGGUAGUAAAAAACUGGUGCAUGGCAAUAUUAUGUUUAAGGCAUUGAUAAUAAUUGGUAUAAUAUCAAUAAUUCCUAUAUAUAUGAUGCCUUAUCAAUAAAACUAUUAAUUUCUGUCUUGGUAUAAGAGAACAAGACUCAUCCACUUAACAUUGGACUUGUUUUUUAAUGUAUGUAAGCAAUUGUUCUUAAGUAUAUCAACAAGUUACAGAUACAUUUUUUUUACUUUUAUUCCAUGAACAUAGAUUAAUUAUGGGAUGGCCAUUUUCUAAAUAUAAGAUGAUGAUUUAUUUUCAUAUACAUGAACAUUUUAUAUCAAGGUACUUGAGCAUUUUUUACAUUUUUCUAUACACAAAAUUUUCUCCAAUAUUAAGUCGAUUUUUUUAAAUAGAUUAGUUUCCCCAAAACUUUCUUUAUUAGAAUUGUGAAAAUGUCGCACUUGCCCAGCUAGGGAAAAUUUCGUUAGGCAGAGCUGCCCAACUCUCGGAACUCCCUAUAAGUUCCUCCUUGCCGCUACCAACCUUCCCUUCAGACAGCGCAUGCCUGGCUGGUCCGACCCAUUGACGACACGAAUGGACACCACCGAGUGGGAGAGUAGGCGUUGAGCCAAUCCACUUUAGCAACAAUUUUUUCAUUUUUGGAAAAUAUCUUUGCAAAUUGAACAAGCAUUGAUAAAUGCGAAGUUUUUUUUGAACAUAUUCUAAAAUUUAAAAUUUCUUAAAACCCCAAUUAUGUUUGGAAUUUCAUACAUUCUUCUGAAAAAAUGAACACUUUUGGAAAUACUUAACAUUAUUUGAAAACUAAGACCUUUUCUUGGAGAAACAACAAUUUUAUGAAAAACGUGUUAGUUUUAUAAUUUGUAGAAUGUUUUUCAAAGUUAUGAUUUUUAAGAACACAAACAAUUUUUUAAAUUUCGAACAAAAUAUGAGAAUCGGAACAUUUCCCGAAAACUUGAAUAUUUUCUAAAUUUCAAAUUUCCACACAUUUUAAAAAAAGGAGUCUUUUUGAUAAAGAUAAUAAGAAAAAUAAAACAAUGAAAAAACAAAUAAGAAAAACUGUAACAUCCUAAUUUUCAAUUUGGAUGUUAUAAAUAGAUCAGCAGAUGCAUAUCAUAUUUAUUCUUUCUUUUGGUUGAGAUCCUAGAGAUCUUAAGCAACUCAAGGACCCAAGGAGAGAGUUGGAGGUUUCACAAAAUUCAUAUUUGAAUUUAUUUCAAAUUUGAGGGAAGGAUCAAUUUGAUUUUAUUAUUUUUCUCUCUAAUUUUUUCCAAUAAUAAAAAUACAUGCGAGAAGAUAAUAUGACUUCUUCAACCUAAGAUAAAUAUUGGAGAAAGAGUUUUAAAAUCAACUUAUGAUUUUAUUAGAAUUUUAUUUGGAUUAGAAAAAUAUUGCAUUUUUUAAAAUUGCAUCUUAGUCCAGAAAAAUGUUUAUCUUGUCCUAAAUAUUAGGUUUGGACGGUGAGAAUCAUUUCUGGAAUUUUUAGAUUUUUCUUUAUAAUUUAUAAGGAUUUUUCUUUCGGGCAAAAUUUAUUUCUAAAAAAAAGUUAUUUCCGCCCGAAUGUGCCGAAGGCCUAGCCGAGCCGGCCCAGAAGCAGCGCCGCCGCCAUCCCCGCGCGGUAGUCCGCCCUGCUGCCGCCAGCGUGCCGCUGGCCAAGUUCUAGGCGGGCACGCCUCCCGAGGCCGCCCCCUUCCCCAAGACGAGGUCGAGCCCCUUCCUUAAAUAGCGCGUCGCCCCGCCACCUCUCCUCCACACCGCCGCCGCCUCCCACCACCAGCAGCAGCAAUAGCCCCGCGCCGCCGCUGCUGCGCCGCUUUCCGCCGCCUGUGACGCCCCCGAUUCAAUCGUACACUAAUCAUACAUGUAAAUAUGUACGAUCAAGAUCAGGGACUCACGGGAAGAUAUCACAACACAACUCUAAAAAUAAAAUAAGUCAUACAAGCAUCAUAAUACAAGCCAGGGGCCUCGAGUGCUCGAAUACAAGUGCUCGAUCAUAGACGAGUCAGCGGAAGCAACAAUAUCUGAGUACAGACAUAAGUUAAACAAGCUUGCCUUAAGAAGGCUAGCACAAACUGGGAUACAGAUCAAAAGAGGCGCAGGCCUCCUACCUGGGAUCCUCCUAAACUAAUCCUGGUCGUCGUCAGCGGCCUGCACACAGUAGUAGGCACCUCCAGUGUAGUAGGAGUUGUCGUCGGUGGCGUAUGGCUCUUGGGAUCCAACGUCUUGUUGCGGCAUCCGAGAAGAAGAGGAAAAUGGGGGAAAAGAGGGAGCAAAGCAACCGUGAUUACUCAUCCAAAGUACUCGCAAGCAAGGAGCUACACUACAUAUGCAUGGGUAUAUGUGUAAGGAGGCAAUAUCAGUGGAAUGAAUUGCAGAAUGCCAGAAUAAAAGGGGGAUAGCUAGUCCUAUCGAAGACUACGCUUCUGGCAGCCUCCGCCUUGCAGCAUGUAGAAGAGAGUAGAUUGAAGUCCUCCAAGUAGCAUCGCAUAGCAUAAUCCUACCCGGCGAUCCUCCCCUCAUUGCCCUAUGGGAAAGCGAUCACCGGGAUGUCUCUGGAACUUGUAUGGAUGUGUUUUAUUAAGUAUCCGAUUCUAGUUGUCAUAAGGUCAAGGUACAACUCCAAGUCGUCCUGUUACCAAAGAUCACGGCUAUUCGAAUAGAUUAACUUCCCUGCAGGGGUGCACCACAUUUCCCAACACGCUUGAUACCCUUCGGCCGGACACACUUUCCUGGGUCAUGCCCGGCCUAGGAAGAUCAACACGUCGUAGCCCCACCUAGGCACAACAGAGAGGUCAGCACGCCAGUCUAACUCCUAUGGCACAGGGGUUUGGGCCCAUCGCCCAUUGCACACCUGCACGUUACGAGGGCGGCCGGAAGUAGACUAGCCCCCUUAAUACAAGUGCAGGCUUACGGUCCAAUCCGGCGCGCGCCGAUCAGUCGCUGACGUCAAGAAGGCUUCGGCUGAUACCACAACGUCGAGUGCCCAUAACUGUUCCCGCGUAGUUGGUUAGUGCAUAUAGGCCAGUGGCCAGACUCAGAUAAAAUACCAAGAUCUCGUUAAGCAUGUUAUUAUGAAGUAACCCCGAAGGCCGACUUGGGCCAGGCCCACCUCUCUCCUAGGUGGCCUCAAACUGCCCUGUCGCUCCACCACAAAGAUCCACACACAGGGCCGUCGGGAAAGUAUGCCCUUUCAUCCCCCAAUUCAUGAAUCAACCGCGGGUACUCAACGAGCCGACACGACUUUAGUCACCAUCUGUAUAGCAUGUAUAUAUGUAUAGUAUAAACCCGUGAUCACCUCCCGAGUGACCACGGCCUGAUAGUAUAGCAAGGCAGACUGACAAGAAUGUAGGGCCACAGAUGAUAAACUAGCAUCCUAUACUAAGUAUUUAGGAUUGCAAGUAAGGUAUCAACAGAUGUAGCAACAAUGACAGGCUAUGCAUCAGAAUAGGAUUAACGGAAAGCAGAAACAGGCUACACUACUCUAAUGCAAGCAGUAUAGAGGAGAGUAUGCGAUAUCUGGUGAUCAAGGGGGGGGGGCUUGCCUGGUUGCUCUGGCAAGAAGGAGGGGUCGUCAACUCCGUAGUCGUACUGGGUGCUAGUGUAAGAAACAAUUAAUAUAGUGCAAACAUAAGCAUGACGAUAUAAGACAUGAAAAUGAGCGGUGCUAGGUGUGGCCUAACGAGGUAGUAGGCGAUACCGGCUAAAGGGGGAAACAUCCGGGAAAGUAUCGUCGGUGUUUCGCGUUUUCGGACAGAUGAACCGGAGGUGAAAUGUUGCAGGUUUGCUAUGCUAGGGAUGCGUGGUGGACUAACGAGAUGUGUAUUCGGAUUUGUCUUGUUGUUCUGAGCAACUUUCGUAUACAAAGUUUUUCCAUCCGAGUUACGGAUUAUUUAAUAUUAUUUUUUAAAGAUUUAAAUCAAUUUAUAAAUUAUUAGUAUUAAUUAAAUUCGAAAAUGGCAUUACUGCAUCGGCAUGACGUCAGCAUGACAUCAUUAGUCAACAGAGGUGUUGACUAGGUCAAGCUGACGUGUGGGUCCCAUCUGCCAUUGACACAUUGCCCUAACUAACAAACUAGUUAGUUUAAUUAAAUAUUUAGGUUAAUUAAGUUUAGUUAUUUUAACUAAACAUGAUAAAUUAAGUUAACUAAUUAGUUAAUUAAUUAAUUAACCAAUUUUAUUAUUAUUAUUUUAUCUUAUUAUUAUUAUUUUUUAAACGUUCUGGGGGUGGGGCCCCCUUAUCAUAGGCCCCCGGGGACCUAGUGGAGUGCGUUAACGGGCGCCGGGGCAUUGCGGGCGUGCGCCCGAGUCCACCAUGGAAGGGGACUCCGGACAGGGGAGGGGGCGCCGCCGUGGCGGCUGGCGCCGGCUGUGGCGGAGCGGUGUGGGACCGAUGGGGCAUAGGCGAUGCACGCGACGGCGCGCGCGAGCUGCAGCGGUGGAGGUGGUGGCGGGGUCGCGCGGGCGGAGCAAAGUCGCGACAGCCAGAGCGGAGUAGUGCAGCGAGCAGCACUGCUCGUGGCGUCGCGCGGGCAUAGUAAGCACGGGAGGCGGGCCGACGCAGGACCAGGCAUAGCAGCGGCGGCGCAGGGCGCGGCCAGCGCCCGUUGCGCGCGUGCUUCAAUGCGGGUAGGCACAGCCACGGCGGCGUGAGCCACGGCGGGAAGAAGGAACACGGGAGGGGGCGCAGUAGCAGCAGGCGAGAGGGGCACGCACGGGGCGACGAUGGGAUGCGACAGCGAGCGCGGUGGGGCGGUGCGCGUGCGUGAGUGCACGAUGGACGAGCGGCCGGAGCGAACAACGAGUGCGGGGAGAGGAGGAGAGGUUGGGGGCCUCAGGCAGCAGGGGUGGGGAGGACGACGGGGACAACGUGCGGCGGGGCGACGAGGUCCGGUGGCAGGAUGGACGUUGGCGAUGGCGUCCGACGAGGUGGUGGCGCGGUGGCUACGGUGACUGUGCCGGGGCGCCGUGGGCGCCCAGAUCCAGAACGGGGAGGAGGAGGUCGAGGACGGGGCGUCAGGGCAUCGAGCGACACCGGCAAGGGGCGACGGAGUCAGGGACGAUGGGGUCGGGGCGGUUUGCCCCGAUCCAGAAACCGGGAGGGGAGUGGGGGAGCGAGCGAGUGUGGGGUGAGUGGAAUCCUGGUAUCUAGGGUUUUGGGCGAUAGGAGGAUAUGGAGAGUGGGGUGGGCCGGUCUGGCGAGGGUGGGAGUUGGGCCGGGUGACCCAGUUGGCCUGGGGCUUUCCCCCUCUUUUUACUUUAUUAAUUUUUUGUUUAGUCUCCUUUUUUUUAUUCUUUUCCAUUUUCUAUUUUAUUUAUUUUAGAGCAUCAUAGCAUUUUCUAAAUAUGGGUUUUCUUCACUAUAAUUACCUAUGUAAUAUUUGGCACAAUCCGGACAUUUUAGUUUAAUUGUUUGAAAACCUUUUUGUUUGCCUGAUUUUAAAUUUGAAUUUGAAUCGGUUUUGAACUAACGCGAGAUUAGUAAUAGUAAUCAAGGUGACGUGGCAUCAUUAGCAGAGGUUCAAUGUAGCUUAAGUAUCCGGGUGUCACAAUUCUCCUCCACCACAAGAAAUCUCGUCCCGGGAUUUAAGCGGUGUAUUAAGGGGGGAGGUGCUGGUAGUGAAAAAGCUAACGAGUCUUCUCGGUCUUGGCUGCCCUUUCGAAGAGGUUGAUCCCUUUCGUUGAUGUCUUCAUUUCUCUGCUUCAAGUCACCAUGACCAAGUCGUCAUCCUUUCUUCGGGAUCUCCAUCAUCCUACGAACGCGACCAAGGGGAAAACUCUUGAAGAACGCAUCUCCGCAAAGUUGGGCAUCUGGCGGUGAACUCAAUGGGAAAUACACAAGGUACCCCACGAGUUGUAUUUCAGUGAAUUCAUUGAGUGCAAUAUACGAUGGUACCAAAGUUUCAAACGGGUAGGCAAUCAUUCGAUGACUAGACAGAAGCUGGAAUGGGGGUUUGAACAAUGAGAAUAACAUGGCAUUUGAUUCCAAGAGGAAUAAUGGUAUAGCAUUUAGCUCGUGAAUCACAUACGAAGCCAGGUGCAAAGGAUACAUUAGAAUCCGGGUUGUAAAGAAGAGUCAGGUUUCGAUCCAGUGGACCUGUGGGUUAUGGGCCCACCAUGUGGGUUGACAGUAGGAAGGGUGGUGACAUCUUGCACAGCCGCAACAGGGAGGCAUGUCAGGGCAACAAUUGUCAGUAACAAGGACGGGGAACGAAGAGAGCAAUUUUCCUGCUUGUUGAACAGGUGAACCAAUUGGCAAAGUUAUCACCCAUCGGUGGUUACCGGAAUGUCAUCAACAAUAGUAACAUGGUCUUACAAACAGAGUGGUACAACAAGUUGCCUACCUAAGCAGGGAAUUAUCUCUGCUCAGUUAAGUCAGAUUUAGGAAAGGUUAAACAAAAGAAUGGAAAGGAAAACGCGAUUAUCAGAUUAAACAGAACAAUGGAAAGGAAAAUUGUGAUUACACACAAUUAUUAGGAGUAUGUCCUUCCCAUGUACAAGCAGAACAUGGAAUACAGGAUAGGAGAGCAAGUACCCAACCAUUCAGAUAAGGGGCAAGGAUUAAUCAAGAUGUUACCCAUACAACAUCGUUUGGAUAACUGACCAAGAAACAUUUAGCAUCGCGCCUUCAAUGUUCUUGUUGAUGAGCGGGGUAUCAUAGUCAUGCUUCGAGGUAGCAAUGAUAUGGGGUUCCAAUCAAGGCCAGACUUUGGAUACACAAAUGAUCCAUCAGGAGCAACUUAUAAAAUAAGUCCUACAAUUUCCUCCAGGAAGAAUGGUUAUCCUUGCAAAAGAAAUUAUAAUGAUAGGUCCUCCAGCCAGGGGUGCUAGGCAUGACAUCAUAUUACCUGGUCAUCAAAGGACCAACAUCAUAACUCCUGGAAAGUUGUCCUAACCAUAAUAUCUGACCGAGAUUCCGAUCCGAUUGGUGUCAUGAUACCUCAGACUCAGGAUGUCCGAGAAGAAAAGGCGCGACACAAAUUGAUGAAAUGACAUUGCAAGAUUCUCAGGAAAUGAACUAUGGGAGUGGGUUCCUGAAACAAUAGUUCAUCAUUAAACCAAGGAGGGGAUGAGGAGAUUGCUGAUGGGCUCAGCGACAAUUCAACGAGAAUUCCAAACAGAUGGAUUUCCACACUUAUGUGAACAAGAAGAUGAUACUUGUUAAUUCAAAUGAUAUAAUGUUGUAUGCUCGAGGAAAACAUACACCAUCAAGCAAUAGUUGUAAGGUGUGCCCGAAGUAUGACCUUAGGCAGCAGGAUCAAUGUUAGAGUGAUGAUUCAAUGACCAACAGUCUAAGAAUGAACUGUUGAUCAUUAACUUCAACGCAAUAGGGUUGCUAGAAGUACAGAACUCAAGCAGGAUCGUUGGCAUAUCGGUAUCCCGGUUAAAAACAACACGGGGACCAAGGAAGAAUGGUGAUGGUGGGAAGUAUUAUCAUACCGAGAAUUUCUAAGAGGUGGAGCAAUCCACACAACAUCCUCGACAGAAAAGACAGUAAUACUUCAAGGAAGAACACAACACUAGCUGGACAGCAAGUUGUAUUCAUAAUAUGGGCAAGUUCGCGAUGAAAGGAAGACAAGGGUUUUGUCGAUGAUAAUAAAAAUCAUCGAGGGCAAGGAGGGAAUUUCUCAUCAUGAACACAGUUGGCAUCUCAGAAGAAGUCAAAGUGUUGAAGGUGACCCGACACAUUUGCCGGGAGAUUUCAAGAGGAUGAAAUCAAACAACAACGGCAACAAGCGAGGGAAUGACGAAGUGGCAAGUUAUAGGAUCAAUAUAUAAGAUGCAAGCUCGGGACCAAAUUGCCUUUCAAGACAAGCAACAUGAUGUUGAAAGCUCGACGUAAGUCAUGCUCACACACUGAAGAUUCGUGCACCAGAGAAUGACGAGGUAGCACCGUCAAAGGUAGCAAGACCUGGAUGCAACCGAUAGUCUAGGAAUGACCAGAUUUAGUUCAGAAUUUCCUAGUAAAAAUACUAGGGGUAUUUGAUUUGUAGUGCGGAAUAAAUUCACUAGUCGGUGUCCUCGGUUGACAACAACCCAGAACCCGUAGAGUGAUUACGGCAAGGAAAGACAUUACUUCAACAAAGUUAGUAAGAUGUGGUGCAAUGGCAAGACAUCUCCGAGAUACCAGGGGCUAAUACUCGAAGGUAGAACAAGAUAGAAGUAGAACCGGGUCAUUGACCUAUGACAUUAGAUACUUCAACCUUGCCAAAAAUAGACGAGGGACUGGAAUGAAUUCCCAUCAGAUAUAUCAUAUCAGGACAACAUGGUCGGAACCAUAACUAUAAGGAAUCAAUUUCAAGAAUACCGAAAGAAUCAUACAGCUGGAUAAUCAUUUUGCAAGAAGCUUCUCAGAUGGUCUACAUCAUUUUCAUGGGCAUGAACACAAAGUUCAAGGUCGACUCCCACUUCUUUAAUGCAUAUCAUCUCAUUCACCUUUUGCUUUGAUAUAACAGUAGUGUUGAAAGUUUAUCUGGUUGAAAACCGGAAGAGUGUGACUUGUGAAAACUUUCGGGUUCUCACGAAUUAGGGGAAGGCAUAGGUUCAACCCAUCGGGCAACUUAGUAACCUAUACCACAAGUUUCAAAAGUAAAUACACAAGCUCGAAAGCAGAGCAUGGUUGUCCAGGUAGAGGAUACAAUUUACCAAAGGCACUAUGUAUCAGGGAAAGAACUCACAUGGUGAUUUAAUAUGAAGGACACUGUCGGAUAACAAUCCAACAAUGGAUAGGGCGAUCCACAACGGAGCUGAUGUGAGUAUCGGUACUCACUCGGAGGAAGAAAGAAUGCAGAGGCAUCAGAUUCAAGAAUCACCUGAUUAGUCUGAUGCUUAAAUAGAAAGAAAUUAUGGUUUCCAAAAUGAAGGAUCAGAAGCAGAUGCUCUGAUCAAGGAUGGAUAAGUUGAAAACACCUAGUUGGACAAUCAAUAAAGGUUUGAAUUGCCGAGAACCAACUCAUGUCUGGAAUGACGUCUGAGCCGGAAAGAGAAUCUUAAAAAGGAUAACAUGAUGACUGCGUGUGUACGCACACAUUGAAUCAAUAGGCUCAAAAUGACUAAGACAAGGGAUGUUAACGAGGACUACUAGUCAUAUGGAAUUAUCCAUAAUGCAAGCAGGCAAGCGUUUCAAGAGUAACAGGCUGCAGAGGAUUUUUGAAAGAUCGAAAAGUAUUCCAAAGAAUCAUGUGAGACACAUGAACAAUUGAGAAGAAUGGAUCCUUGAUAAAUGUGAGGAAAAACCCGUAAGGGUUUUCACGCGAAAUAAAACUGCAAGACAGUAAACUCAAAGGUUUUUUGGGACAACGACGAAUAUUUCGAGGCAUCAUGUAACAACAAGAGCGGCGAGGAAUGAUCAACAGAAUGACAAGUGCAUACAGAUAUCCAUAGGGAUAUAUCGGUGAUAAUGGAUUGCAACGGUGAUGAGCACAAGGGUCUCGGGAAAAUAUCAAGGGAUAUCUUCAGAAUCUUCUGAUGCAAUAAGCAAUCAUCUGGAGUGAGGGAUCUCUAGGAGAAGUAGUUACGAGAACCUAGAGUCGGCGUUAAUAAAAUCAUUUAACCCGAAUAGAGGAGAGAUCAGUGUCCCAGAGUAAAGGUCGAGGAGUAAAAGAUCCUAAUACCACCCAAUGGCGACGUGGGCCCGUGAGCCACACAGCUAAGGUAGUAAAACAGUUUUCGGCUUCUAGACUCAACUUCGGCCAAGGAGUUGGAAAGGGGAUUCCUACAGGCAGUCGGCUCUGAUACCAACUUGUGCCGCCGCCGAUUCAAUCGUACACUAAUCGUACACGCAAAUGUGUACGAUCAAGAUCAAGGACUCACGGGAAGAUAUCACAACACAACUCUAAAAAUAAAAUAAGUCAUACAAGCAUCAUAAUACAAGCCAGGGGCCUCGAGGGCUCGAAUACAAGUGCUUGAUCAUAGACGAGUCAGCGGAAGGAACAAUAUCUGAGUACAGACAUAAGUUAAACAAGCUUGCCUUAAGAAGGCUAGCACAAACUGGGAUACGAAUCGAAAGUGGCGCAUGCCUCCUUCCUGGGAUCCUCCUAAACUACUCCUGGUCGUCGUCAGCGGCCUGCACGCAAUAGUAGGCACCUCCAGUGUUGUAGGAGUCAUCAUCGCCGAUGUCGUCUGGCUCCUGGGAUCCAACAUCUGGUUGCGGCAUCCGAGAAGAAGAGGAAAACGGGGGAAAAGAGGGAGCAAAGCAACCAUGAGUACUCAUCCAAAGUACUCGCAAGAAAGGAGCUACACUACAUAUGCAUGGGUAUAUGUGUAAGGAGGCAAUAUCAGUGAACUGAACUGCAGAAUGCCAGAAUAAGAUGGGGAUAGCUAGUCCUAUCAAAGACUACGCUUCUGGCAGCCUCCGUCUUGCAUCAUCUAGAAGGGAGUAGAUUGAAGUAUCAUCGCAUAGCCUAAUCCUACCCGGCGAUCCUCCCCUCGUCGCCCUAUGGGAAAGCGAUCACCGGAAUGUCUGUGGAACUUGUCUGGAUGUGUUUUAUUGAGUAUCCGGUUCUAGUUGUCAUAAGGUCAAGGUACAACUCCCAGUCGUCCUAUUGAAGAUCACGUCUAUUCAAAUAGAUUAACUUCCCUGCAGGGGUGCACCACAUUUCCCAACACGCUUGAUCCCCUUUGGCCGGACACACUUUCCUGGGUCAUGCCCGGCCUCGGAAGAUCAACACGUCGCAGCCCCACCAAGGCACAACAAAGAGGUCAACACGCCGGUCUAACUCCUAUGGCGCAGGGGUCAGCACGCCCUGCCUGUUCCGUUCACCACCCCUAGUGACCAGUGUUUAGCCCCAACGUCUGUCCCACUAGGUCCCAGCCCCAUUUCAUUGGUUAAUUUUAUGUAUAAUAGUGUGAUAAGAUAGUGAGGUGUAUGCAUAUCUAUAACCGUAUAUCAUACUUCUGAUUGUAGUGUAAGACAGAGAGGUGUAAUCUUGCCUUUUUACUUCAGAGAGAUAAUUCGAUCACUUUAAGUUGUUGCAUGCUGUCAUAUGCACUAUGCUUAUGUUAUUUGCUACUAAACCAAUAGUGGAAUAUAGUUUUAUGUUUCAUGUAUUGUUUGGUGGCUUCUCAAUUUGUGCAUGAAAACAAACAUUGCUUCCGAGUGACUCUUCAUUAGGCUCUUGUUUUAUUCAUGGGUGAUGGAACAAUGAAUGCAAAGAUAAGCUUCCUUUGAUUUGGUUGCUCGGUUGACAAGAAUAUGCAUUCCUUUGUAUACCACCUUACCUCUCCUGUGAUGCUUUCUACAUUGUAGAUUCCCUGUAUUAGAUAAGGGCCAGUACUAGGGUUGAUGAUUUAGUACAGAAAUCAUUGCAUUCCAUAUAUCUCACAGUUUAUUUGUAUCAGAUUCAUGUGAGGCGGUCCCUAUGAAGUACAUGGACGAGACAGAUGGAUUACGCCAUCUAUUAGUAUGCUUAGUGAUUCUGUAGUUGGCUCUUUUUAUUAUGUUCAUGUUCUUAUUAACUCCUCUUAUGUGUUCUCGCAAUUGGUAUCGAACUUCAUGUCGAAUGGCUAUCUUUUGUGGUCGUAUGAACGGGUCGAGCUUGAUCCUGCCUUAUAAAUUGAUGUUGUCUUGUGCUCCAUUACGUUUUACUUUUAUCACAAUUGAAUGUUUCUUUAUUUUAUUAUUAUCCUGUAUAAGUGCAAAUGCUAUAUCUGGGUUCCUACUGACAUGGUGUUACAUGCUUUGGCAAAGUGCUUGGACCGGCACCCUCGCGCCAGGGCGCGAUCCUGAUCUAGUGUAUCAUGUAGCAAGCCAUGAGCCGAGGGUUGCUACAUGAUCAAUUGCUGACUAGGCAGUGUGUUUUCUUCAUUUUGGGCAGAUCACAAGUGUUUGACACCUCUCUCUACAUUGGGUAUCCUUUUCCACUUGAAUUUUAAAAUGCGCAGAAUGUGCUUUCCUUGUUGUUGCCUCGUCAUUCCAGCAUGGAAUCAAAGCAAAACUGAUAUUACUACCUUUAAAAAUUCUCUCACUGUCUAUGUCCAUAACAUGCCCAUUGGACUGCACGGCAGAAGUGAAGGUGUGUGCCUAGCUGGCGGAGCAGACGCACUCAUGUGACCUCUGAUCUAAGAACGACUUGUACUCUGUUGUGAGCCCAUGGUGCGUGUGGGUUGGAACGCUGCUUAGGAAAUCUAGACUUAUUUUGCAGGCAAGCCAAGAUGAGAUCUGUAGCCCAUGUGAUUUCCAUCAAAAUCACGGCCAGUUCAACUCUGGUUCGAAUCCAAAUAAAAAAAUAGACCAGCAGUCCUAGAUGGAUAUGUCCAUCGCUAAAAAACGCAGUUGUUGAAAGAGUCAAUAUGACUUGUAGCUAGAGUACGCCAACACCCCUCACUUCUUCUACAUGCACUAAACAAACCCUAGCUUAUCCGACUCAAUUUGCUUUAAGGUUUAUGUGUGAAAGAAGUCGUGUUAAAACAGAACACCACACUCUUCAACCUGAGAAAUCAAUAGUCAAUUUACCUAUGGAUAUUAAAUCUAUAUACAUCGUACUUGAUGUGUGAAGUUGAUAAUACUUAUUAAUAAUAUUUUAAAUUACAAUAUUUGGUGCUUCACAGCCUGUGAUGAAAUUAUUGUUCACCCAUCCAAUGCAGUAAAAAGUACGUGCGAGAGAGAGAGAGAGAGAGAGAGAGAGAGAUUAAAGUACAUUUUGUUCUGAUGUCCACCAUAGUUCCACGAUCAGUACACCUAGGAGGAGACAAUCAAAAUAUGGACAGAACAUAAAUAUUUAAUAUGUAAAUGGUAGGUAACAAAUCCAACUACAAAAUUGUGCAAGCAACCCACUAGCUAGUUUUAUUGAAUAUUAAAAUAACAUAGUUGAUUUCUAAAACAUAAAAAAAUUAUUAUCUCAUCAACGCAUAAUUAUUUUGAGAACCAUAAGGUUGAGAUUUAUCCACCCAAAAACUAUUGUGUUGUUGUUGCUGGUGUGCAAUUAAUCUUGCAGGGACAGUUGAUGAAGCAUUCUCCAAGAUCUGGCUAGCACAAGUUAUCUAUUUGACAGCAGAAUUCCCGUCCUGGGAGCUGGUGCCCAUCUUUAUAACAAGGGGGUCUAGUUACAUGGCUUACUUUGCUCAUCAUGUUUCUCCCCUUGUUGUUUAUGAUUUCACCUAAUUAAUAUAAAAUAAAGAAUAUACUUAUCAUCUCAUCAUAUCAACAAUAAAAGUCCACAGUAUCAAUACCACCAAAAAAUCGAGUUGUUAAUUACCAUAUGUGCCUCCAAGACAAGUCAAACACACCACAAGAAGAAAAGAAAGUAGCACAAGUCCUUGCACAUUGUUCCUCGUGAACUUGGUCAUCGUCACUAAGGAAUAGAGGCUAUUAAUGGGUGGUACUCUUGUAAGUGGAGUUGAUGAGUGUAUGACCGUGAAAUGCUUGCUCCAUGAAUGGUUCAUAUAUAUAUAGGAAAAGCUUCUCCGUGUCGAUGUGUGAAGUUAUAGAAAAUAUUAAUGCUUGGAGUUCUGCCUUGUGUGAAUUUCCAAUUUUAGUUUCACUUCUAAAGAUUCAUGGUUCCUUCUAGAGUUUUUUUCUCAAAUUUAUGCUUUGUCAUAGCAUGUAAGUUACUUUAAUGCCCCCUCUAGAAUUGAUCGCUCAUUGUUUUCAAGGGGUAGAAAGUACCUCUUAGAAUGGGUAGUAAAAAACUGGUGCAUGGCAAUAUUGUGUUUAAGGCAUUGAUAAUAAUUGGUAUAAUAUCAAUAAUUCGUAUAUAUAUGAUGCCUUAUCAAUAAAAUUAUUAAUUUCUGUCUUGGUAUAAGAGAACAGAAUUUAAAAUUCAACAAGACUCAUCCACUUAACAUUGGACUUGUUUUUUAAUGUAUGUAAGCAAUUGUUCUUAAGUAUAUCAACAAGUUACAGAUACAUUUUUUAAAUAUAAGAUGAUGAUUUAUUUUCAUAUACAUGAACAUUUUAUAUCAAGGUACUUGAGCAUUUUUUACAUUUUUCUAUACACAAAAUUUUCUCCAAUAUUAAGUCGAUUUUUUUUAAAUAGAUUAGUUUCCCCAAAACUUUCUUUAUUAGAAUGGUGAAAAUGUCGCACUUGCCCAGCUAGGGAAAAUUUCGUUAGGCAGAGCUGCCCAAUUCUCGGAACUCCCUAUAAGUUCCUCCUUGCCGCUACCAACCUCCCCUUCAGACAGCGCAUGCCUGGCUGGUCCGACCCAUUGACGACACGAAUGGACACCACCGAGUGGGAGAGUAGGCGUUGAGCCAAUCCACUUUAGCAACAAUUUUUUCAUUUUUGGAAAAUAUCUUUGCAAAUUGAACAAGCAUUGAUAAAUGCGAAGUUUUUUUUGAACAUAUUCUAAAAUUUAAAAUUUCUUAAAACCCCAAUUAGGUUUGGAAUUUCAUACAUUCUUCUGAAAAAAUGAACACUUUUGGAAAUACUUAACAUUAUUUGAAAACUAAGACCUUUUCUUGGAGAACCAACAAUUUUAUGAAAAACGUGUUAGUUUUAUAAUUUGUAGAAUGUUUUUCAAAAUUAUGAUUUUUAAGAACACAAACAAUUUUUGAAAUUUUGAACAAAAUUUGAGAAUAGGAACAUUUCCCGAAAACUUGAAUAUUUUCUAAAUUUCAAAUUUCCACACAUUUUAAAAAAAGGAGACUUUUUGAUAAAGAUAAUAAGAAAAAUAAAACAAUGAAAAAACAAAUAAGAAAAACUAUAACAUCCUAAUUUUCAAUUUGGAUGUUAUACAUAGAUCAGCAGAUGCAUAUCAUAUUUAUUCUUUCUUUUGGUUGAGAUCCUAGAGAUCUUAAGCAAGUCAAGGACCCAAGGAGAGAGUUGGAGGUUUCACAAAAUUCAUAUUUGAAUUUAUUUCAAAUUUGAGCGAAGGAUCAAUUUGAUUUUAUUAUUUUUCUCUCUAAUUUUUUCCAAUAAUAAAAAUACAUGAGAGAAGAUAAUAUGACUUCUUCAACCUAAGAUAAAUAUUGGAGAAAGAAUUUUAAAAUCAAAUUAUGAUUUUAUUAGAAUUUUAUUUGAAUUAGAAAAAUAUUGUAUUUUUUAAAAUUGCAUCUUAGUCCAGAAAAAUGUUUAUCUUGUCCUAAAUAUUAGGUUUGGACGGUGAAAAUUAUUUCUGGAAUUUUUAGAUUUUUCUUUAUAAUUUAUUAGGAUUUUUCUUUCGGGCGAAAUUUAUUUUUUUUAAAAAGUUAUUUCCGCCCGAAUGGGCCGAAGGCCCAGCCGAGCCGGCCCAGAAGCAGCGCCACCGCCAUCCCCGUGCGGUAGUCCGCCCCGCUGCCGCCAGCGUGCCGCCGGCCAAGUCCGAGGCGGGCACGCCUCCCGAAGCCGGCCCCUUCCCCAAGACGAGGUCGAGCCCCAUCCUUAAAUAGCGCAUCGCCCCGCCACCUCUCCUCCACACCGCCGCCGCCUCCCACUAGCAGCAGCAGCAAUAGCCCCGCACUGCCGCCGCCGCGCCGCUUUUCGCCGCCUGUGACGCCCCCGAUUCAAUCGUACACUAAUCAUACAUGCAAAUGUGUACGAUCAAGAUCAGGGACUCACGGGAAGAUAUCACAACACAACUCUAAAACUAAAAUAAGUCAUACAAGCAUCAUAAUACAAGCCAGGGGCCUCGAGUCCUCGAAUACAAGUGCUUGAUCAUAGACGACUCAGCGGAAGCAACAAUAUCUGAGUACAGACAUAAGUUAAACAAGCUUGCCUUAAGAAGGCUAGCACAAACUGGGAUACAGAUCGAAAGAGGCGCAUGCCUCCUACCUGGGAUCCUCCUAAACUACUCCUGGUCAUCGUCAGCGGCCUGCACGCAGUAGUAGGCACCUCCAGUGUAGUAGGAGUUGUCGUCGGUGGCGUAUGGCUCCUGGGAUGCAACGUCUUGUUGCGGCAUCCGAGAAGAAGAGGAAAACGGGGGAAAAGAGGGAGCAAAGCAACCAUGAGUACUCAUCCAAAGUACUCGCAAGCAAGGAGAUACACUACAUAUGCAUGGGUAUAUGUGUAAGGAGGCAAUAUCAGUGGAAUGAACUGCAGAAUGCCAGAAUAAGAGGGGGAUAGCUAGUCCUAUCGAAGACUACGCUUCUGGCAGCCUCCGCCUUGCAGCAUGUAGAAGAGAGUAGAUUGAAGUCCUCCAAGUAGCAUCGCAUAGCAUAAUCCUACCCGGCAAUCCGUCCCUCGUCACCCUAUGGGAAAGCGAUCACCGGGAUGUCUCUGGAACUUGUAUGGAUGUGUUUUAUUAAGUAUCCGGUUCUAGUUGUCAUAAGGUCAAGGUACAACUCCAAGUCGUCCUGUUACCGAAGAUCACGGCUAUUCGAAUAGAUUAACUUCCCUGCAGGGGUGCACCACAUUUCCCAACACGCUCGAUACCCUUUGGCCGGACACAAUUUCCUGGGUCAUGCCCGGCCUAGGAAGAUCAACACGUCGUAGCCCCACCUAGGCACAACAGAGAGGUCAGCACGCUAUCUAACUUCUAUGGCACAGGGGUUUGGGUCCAUCGCCCAUUGCACACGUGCACGUUGCGAGGGCGGCCGGAAGUAGACUAGCCCCCUUAAUACAAGUGUAGGCUUACGGUCCAAUCCGACGCGCGCCGAUCAGUCGCUGACGUCAAGAAGGCUUCGGCUGAUACCACGACGUCGAGUGCCCAUAACUGUUCCCGCAUAGUUGGUUAGUGCGUAUAGGCCAGUGGCCAGACUCAGAUAAAAUACCAAGAUCUCGUUACGCAUGUUAUUAUGAAGUAACCCCGAACGCCGGCCAGGGCUAGGCCCACCUCUCUCCUAGGUGGCCUCAAACUGCCCUGUCGCUCCACCACAAAGAUCCACACACAGGGCCGUCGGGAAAGUAUGUCCUUUCAGCCCCCAAUUCAUGAACCAACCGCGGGUACUCAACGAGCCGACACGACUUUAGUCACCAUCUGUAUAGCAUGUAUAUAUGUAUAGUAUAAACCCAUGAUCACCUCCCGAGUGACCACGGCUUGAUAGUAUAGCAAGGCAGACUGACAAGAAUGUAGGGCCACAGAUGAUAAACUAGCAUCCUAUACUAACUAUUUAGGAUUGCAAGUAAGGUAUCAACAGAUGUAGCAACCAUGACAGGCUAUGCAUCAGAAUAGGAUUAACGGAAAGCAGAAACAUGCUACACUACUCUAAUGCAAGCAGUAUAGAGGAGAGUAUACGAUAUCUGGUAAUCAAGGGGGGGGGGCUUGCCUGGUUGCUCUGGCAAGAAGGAGGGGUCGUCAACUCCAUAGUCGUACUGGGUGCUAGUGUAAGAAACAAUUAAUAUAGUGCAAAGUUGCAAACAUAAGCAUGAAGAUGUAAGACAUGAAAAUGAGCGGUGCUAGGUGUGCCCUAACGAGGUAGUAGGCGAUACCGGCGAAAGGGGGAAACAUCCAGGAAAGUAUCGUCGGUGUUUCGCGUUUUCGAACAGAUGAACCGGAGGUGAAAUGUUGCAUGUUUGCUAUGCUAGGGAUGCGUGGCGGACAAACGGGAUGUGUAUUUGGAUUUGUCUUGUUGUUCUAAGCAACUUUCAUAUACAAAGUUUUUCCAUCCGAGUUACGGAUUAUUUAAUAUUAAUUUUUAAAGAUUUAAAUCAAUUUAUAAAUUAUUAGUAUUAAUUAAAUUCAAAAAUGGCAUUACUGCAUCAGCAUGACGUCAGCAUGACAUCAUCAGUCAAUAGAGGUGUUGACUAGGUCAAGCUGACGUGUGGGUCCCAUCUGCCAUUGACACAUUGCCCUAACUAACAAACUAGUUAGUUUAAUUAAAUAUUUAGGUUAAUUAAGUUUAGUUAUUUUAACUAAACAUGAUAAAUUAAGUUAAUUAAUUAGUUAAUUAAUUAAUUAACCAAUUUUAUUAUUAUUAGUAUAAUUUUAUCUUAUUAUUAUUAUUUUUUAAAUGUUUUGAGGGUGGGGCCCCCUUGUCAUAGGCCCCUGGGGACCUAGUGGAGUGCGUUAACGGGCGCUGGGGCGCUGCGGGCGUGCGCCUGAGUCCACCAUGGAAGGGGACUCCUGCCAGGGGAGGGGGCGGCUGUGGCGGAGCGGCGUGGGACCGAUGGGGCGUAGGCGAUGCACGUGACGGCGCGCGCGAGCUGCAGCGGUGGAGGUGGUGGCGGGGUCGCGCGGGCGGAGCAAAGGUGCGACAGCCGGAGCGGAGUAGUGCAGCGAGCAGCACUGCUCGUGGCGUCGCGCGGGCACAGUAAGCACGGGAGGCGGGCCGACACAGGACCAGGCAUAGCAGCGGCGGCACAGGGCGCGGCCAGCGCCCGUUGCGCGCGUGCUUCGUUGUUGGUAGGCGCAGCCACGACGACGUGAGCCACGGCGGGAAGAAGGAACACGGGAGGGGGCGCAGUAGCAGCAGGCGAGCGAGGCGCACACGGGGCGAUGAUGGGCAGCGACAGCGAGCGCGGUGGGGCGGUGCGCGUGCGUGCGUGAACGACGGACGAGCGGCCGGAGCGAACAACGAGUGCGGGGAGAGGAGGAGAGGCCGAGGGCCUCACCGCGGUUGUAGGGUCUUAGGCAGCGGGGCGUGGGGAGGACGACGGGGACGACGUGCGGCGGGGCGACGAGGUCCGGCGGCAGGGUGGACGUAGGCGAUGGCGUCUGACAAGGUGGCAGCGCGGUGGCUCCGGCGACUGCGUCGGGGCGCCGUGGGCGCCCAGAUCCAGAACGGGGAGGAGGAGGUCGAGGAUGGGGCGUCAGGGCGUCGAGCGACACCAGCAAGGGGCGACGGAGUCAGGGACGAUGGGGUCGGGGCGGUUUGCCCCGAUCCAGUAACCGGGAGGGGAGUGGGGGAGCGAGCGAGUGUGGGGUGAGUGGAAUCCUGGUAUCUAGGGUUUCGGGCGAUAGGAGGAUAUGGAGAGUGGGGUGGGCCGGUCGGGCCAGGAUGGGAGUUGGGCCGGGUAACCCAGUUGGCCUGGGGCUUUCCCGCACUUUUUACUUUAUUAAUUUUUUGUUUAGUCUCCUUUUUUAUUCUUUUCCAUUUUCUAUUUUAUUUAUUUUAGAGCAUCAUAGCAUUUUCUAAAUAUGGGGUUUCUUCACUAUAAUUACCUAUGUAAUAUUUGGCACAAUCCGGACAUUUUAGUUUCAUUGUUCGAAAACCUUUUUGUUUGCCUAAUUUUUAAUUUGAAUUUGAAUCGGUUUCGAACUAACACGAGAUUAGUAACAGUAAUCAAGGUGACGUGGCAUCAUUAGCGGAGGUUCAAUGUAGCUUAAGUAUCCGAGUGUCAUAAUUCUCCUCCACUACAAGAAAUCUCGUCGCGAGAUUUAAGCGGUGUAUUAAGGGGGAAGGUGCUGGUAGCGAAAAAGCUAACGAGUCUUCUCGGUCUUGGCUGCCCUUUCGAAGAGGUUGAUCCCUUUCGUUGAUGUCUUCAUUUCUCUGCUUCAAGUCACCAUGACCAAGUCGUCAUCCUUUCUUCGGGAUCUCCAUCAUCCUACGAACGCGACCAAGGGGAAAACUCCGGAAGAACGCAUCUCCGCAAAGUUGGGCAUCUGGCGGUGAACUCAAUGGGAAAUACACAAGGUACCACACGAGUUGUAUUUCAGUGAAUUCGUUGAGUGCAAUAUACGAUGGUACCAAAGUUUCAAACGGGUAGGCAAUCAUUCGAUGACUAGACAGAAGCUGGAAUGGGGGUUUGAACAAUGAGAAUAACAUGGCAUUUGAUUCCAGGAGGAAUAAUGGUAUAGCAUUUAGCUCGUGAAUCACAUACGAAGCUAGGUGCAAAGGAUACAUUAGAAUCCGGGUUGUAAAGAAGAGUCAGGUUUCGAUCCAGUGGACCUGUGGGUUAUGGGCCCACCAUGUGGGUUGACAGUAGGAAGGGUGGUGACAUCUUGCACAGCCGCAACAGGGAGGCAUGUCAGGGCAACAAUUGUCAGUAACAAGGACAGGAAACAAAGAGAGCAAUUUUCCUGCUUGUUGAACAGGUGAACCAAUUGGCAAAGUUAUCACCCAUUGGUGGUUACCGGAAUGUAAUAAACAAUAGUAACAUGGUCUUACAAACAGAGUGGUACAACAAGUUGCCUACCUAAGCAGGGAAUUAUCUCUGCUCAGUUAAGUCAGAUUUAGGAAAGGUUAAACAAAAGAAUGGAAAGGAAAACGCGAUUAUCAGAUUAAACGGAACAAUGGAAAGGAAAAUUGUGAUUACACACAAUUAUUUGGAGUAUAUCCUUCCCAUGUACAAGCAGAACAUGGAAUACAAGAUAGGAGAGCAAGUACCCAACCAUUCAGAUAAGGGGCAAGGAUUAAUCAAGAUGUUACCCAUACAACAUCGUUUGGAUAACUCACCAAGAAACAUUUAGCAUCGCGCCUCCAAUGUUCUUGUUGAUGAGCGGGGUAUCAUAUGAAGGAAAUAUGCCCUAGAGGCAAUAAUAAAGUUAUUAUUUAUUUCCUUAUUUCAUGAUAAAUGUUUAUUAUUCAUGCUAGAAUUGUAUUAACCGGAAACAUAAUACAUGUGUGAAUACAUAGACAAACAGAGUGUCACUAGUAUGCCUCUACUUGACUAGCUCGUUAAUUAAAGAUGGUUAUGUUUCCUAACCAUAGACAUGAGUUGUCAUUUGAUUAACGGGAUCACAUCAUUUGGAGAAUGAUGUGAUUGACUUGACCCAUUCCGUUAGCUUAGCACUUGAUCGUUUAGUAUGUUGCUAUUGCUUUCUUCAUGACUUAUACAUGUUCCUGUAACUAUGAGAUUAUGCAACUCCCGUUUACCGGAGGAACACUUUGGGUACUACCAAACGUCACAACGUAACUGGAUGAUUAUAAAGGAGUACUAUAGGUGUCUCCGAAGGUACAUUUUGAGUUGGCGUAUUUCUAUUUGUCACUCCGAUUGUCGGAGAGGUAUCUCUGGGCCCUCUCGGUAAUGCACAUCACUAUAAGCCUUGCAAGCAAUGUGACCAAUAAGUUGGUUACGGGAUGAUGUAUUACGUAACGAGUAAAGAGACUUGCCAGUAACGAGAUUGAACUAGGUAUUGGAUACCGGCGAUCAAAUCUCGGGCAAGUAACAUACCGAUGACAAAGGGAACAACAUAUGUUGUUAUGCGGUUUGACCGAUAAAGAUCUCUGUAGAAUAUGUAGGAACCAAUAUGGGCAUCCAGGUUCCGCUAUUGGUUAUUGACCGAGAAUAGUUCUAGGUCAUGUCUACAUAGUUCUCGAACCCGUAGGGUCCGCACGCUUAACGUUACGAUGACAGUUUUAUUAUGAGUUUAUAAGUUUUGAUGUACCGAUGUUUGUUCGGAGUCCCGUAUUUGAUCACGGACAUGACGAGGAGUCUCGAAAUGGUCGAGACAUAAAGAUUGAUAUAUUGGACGACUAUAUUCGGACACCGGAAGUGUUUCGGACGUUGUCGGAGAAAAACGGAGUGCCGGAGGGUUACUGGAACCCCCCGAGGAGAGAUAAUGGGCCACAUGGGCCUUGGUGGAAAGAGAGAGGGGCGGCCAGGGUGGGCCGCGCGCCCCUCUCCCUCUGGUCCGAAUUGGACUAGGAGGGGGUGGGGGCGGCGCCCCCCUCUUUCCUUCCCCCCUCUUCCCCUUCCUUCCCCCUCCUUGUAGGAGUAGGAAAAGGGGAGUCCUACUCCUACUAGGAGGAGGACUCCUCCUCCUUGGCGCGCCCACAAGGGCCGGCCGGCCUCCCCCCUCCCUCCUUUAUAUACAGGGGCAGGGGGCACCCCAGGACACACAAGUUGAUCUACGGAUCGUUCCUUAGCCGUGUGCGGUGCCCCCCUCCCCCAUAUUCCACCUCGGUCAUAUUGUCGCGGAGUUUAGGCGAAGCCCUGCGCCGGUAGAACAUCAUCAUCGUCACCAUGCCGUCGUGCUGACGGAACUCAUCCUCGAAGCUUUGCUGGAUCGGAGCCCGGGGAUCGUCAUCGAGCUGAAUGUGUGCUGAACUCAGAGGUGCCGUACGUUCGGUGCUUGGAUCGGUCGGAUCGUGAAGACGUACGACUACAUCAACCGCGUUGUCAUAACGCUUCCGCUUACGGUCUACGAGGGUACGUGGACAACACUCUCCCCUCUCGUUGCUAUGUCAUCACCAUGAUCUUGCAUGUACGUAGAAUUUUUAUGAAAUUACUACGUUCCCCAACAGUGGCAUCCGAGCCUAGGUUUUAUGCGUAGAUGUCGUAUGCACGAGUAGAACACAAGUGAGUUGUGGGCGAUACAAGUCAUACUGCUUACCAGCAUGUCAUACUUUGGUUCGAUGGUAUUGUGAGAUGAAGCAUCCCGGACCGACAUUACGCGUACGCUUACGCGAGACUGGUUUCACCGUUACGAGCACUCGUGCUUAAAGGUGGCUGGCUGGUGUCUGUCUCUCUCACUUUAGUUGAACCAAGUGUGGCUACCCCCGGUCCUUGAGAAGGUUAAAACAACACCAACUUGACGAACUAUCGUUGUGGUUUUGAUGCGUAGGUAAGAACGGUUCUUGCUCAGCCCGUAGCAGCCACGUAAAACUUGCAACAACAAAGUAGAGGACGUCUAACUUGUUUUUGCAGGGCAUGUUGUGAUGUGAUAUGGUCAAGACGUGAUGAGAUAUAAGUUGUUGUAUGAGAUGAUCAUGUUGAAGUUAUCGGCAACUGGCAGAAGCUCUAUGGUUGUCUCUUUGUUGCAUAAGAUGCAAGUGCCAAAUAAUUGCUUUACUUUAUCGCUAUGCGAUAGCAAUAGUUGCAAGAGCAAUAGUUGGCGAGACGACCAUGUGACGACACAUUGAUAUAGAUCAAGAUGAUGAAGAUCAUGGUGUCGUGCCGGUGACGAUAGAGAUCAUGACAGUACUUUGGAGAUGGAGAUCGAAGGCGCAAGAUGAUCAUGGCCAUAUCAUGUCACAUAUUUUGAUUGCAUAUGAUGUUUAUCUGUUAUACAUCUUAUUCUGUUUUGUUUGACGGUAGCAUUAUAAGAUGAUCUCUCACUAAUUAUCAAGAAGUGUUCUCCCUGAGUAUGCACCGUUGCCAAAGUUCGUCGUGCCCAGACACCACGUGAUGAUCGGGUGUGAUAAGCUCUACUUCCAUCUACAACGGGUGCAAGCCAGUUUUGCACACGCGGAAUACUCAGGUUAAACUUGACGAGCCUAGCAUAUGCAGAUAUGGCCUCGGAACAUGGAGGCCGAAAGGUCGAGCGUGAAUCAUAUAGUAGAUAUGAUCAACAUAAUGAUGUUCACCAUUGAAAGCUACUCCAUUUCACGUGAUGAUCGGUUAUGGUUUAGUUGAUUUGGAUCACGUGAUCACUUAGAGGAUUAGAGGGAUGUCUUUCUAAGUGGGAGUUCUUAAGUAAUAUGAUUAAUUGAACUUAAAUUUAUCAUGAACUUAGUCCUGGUAGAAUUUUGCAAAUUAUGUUGUAGAUCAAUAGCUUGCGUUGUUACUCUCAUAUGUUUAUUUUGAUAUGUUCCUAGAGAAAAUUGUGUUGAAAAAUGUUAGUGGCAAUGAUGCGGAUUGGAUCCGUGAUCUGAGGUUUAUCCUCAUUGCUGCGCAGAAGAAUUAUGUCCUUGAUGCACCGCUAGGUGAAAAACCUAUUGCAGGAGCAGAUGCAGACGUUAUCAACGUUUGGCUAGCUCAAUAUGAUGACUACUUGAUAGUUUAGUGCACCAUGCUUAACGGCUUAGAAUCGGGACUUCAAAGACGUUUUGAACGUCAUGGACCAUAUGAGAUGUUCCAGGAGUUGAAGUUAAUAUUUCAAGCAAAUACCCGAGUUGAGAGAUAUGAAGUCCCCAACAAGUUCUAUAGCUAAAAGAUGGAGGAGAAUCGCUCAACUAGUGAGCAUGUGCUUAGAUUGUUUAGGUACUACAAUCGCUUGAAUCAAGUGGGAGUUAAUCCUCCAGAUAAGAUAGUGAUUGACAGAAUUCUCUAGUCACCACACCAAGUUAGUAGAACUUUGUGAUGAACUAUAGUAUGCAAGGGAUGACGAAAACGAUUCCCGAGCUCUUCGUGAUGUUGAAAUCGACGAAGGUAUAAAUCAAGAAAGAGCAUCAAGUGUUGAUGAUUGACAAGACCAGUAGUUUCAAGAAAAGGGCAAAGGGAUAGAAAGGGAACUUCAAGUAGAAUGACAAGCAAGUUGUCACUCCCGCGAAGAAGCCCACAGCUGGACCAAAGCCUGAAACUGAGUGCUUACACUGCAAAGGAAAUGGUCACUGGAAGCGGAAAUGCCCUGAAUAUUUGGUGGAUAAGAAGGAUGGCGAAGUGAACAAGAGUAUAUUUGAUAUACAAGUUAUUGAUGUGUGCCUUACUAGUGUUUAUAGUAGCCCCUGAGUAUUUGAUACUUGUUCAGUUGCUAAGAUUAGUAACUCGAAACAGGAGUUAUAUAAACAGAGACUAGUUGAAAGGGAAGUGACGAUGAGUGUUGGAAGUGGUUCCAAGAUUGAUAUGAUCAUCAUCGCACACUCCCUAUACUUUCGGGAUUAGUGUUAAACCUAAAUAAAUGUUAUUUGGCGUUUGCAUUGAGCAUGAAUAUGAUUUGAUCAUGUUUAUUGCGAUACGGUUAUUCAUUUGAAGUUAAAGAAUAAUUGUUAUUCUGUUUACAUGAAUAAGACCUUCGAUGGUUAUACGCCCAAUGGAAAUAGUUUGUUGGAUCUCGAUCGUAGUGAGACACAUAUUCAGAACAUUGAUGCCAAAAGAUGCAAAGUUAAUAAUGAUAGUGCAACUUAUUUGUGGCACUGCCGUUUAGGUCAUAUUGGUGUAAAGCGCAUGAAGAAACUCCAUAAAAGAUGGAUUUUCGGAAUCACUUGGUUAUGAAUCAUUUGAUGCUUGCGAACCGUGCCUUUUGGGCAAGAUGACUAAAACUCCGUUCUCCGGAACAAUGGAACAAGCUACUGACUUAUUGGAAAUAAUACAUACCGAUGUAUGCGAUCCAAUGAGUGUUGAUGCUCGCGGCAAAUAUCAUUAUUUUCUGACCUUCACAGAUGAUUUCAGCAGAUAUGGGUAUAUCUACUCAAUGAAACAUAAGUCUGAAACGUUUGAAAAGUUCAAAGAAUUUCAGAGUGAAGUUGAAAAUCAUCGUAACAAGAAAAUAAAAUUUCUACGAUCUGAUCAUGGAGGAGAAUAUUUGAGUUACGAGUUUGGUCUACAUUUGAAACAAUGCGGAAUAGUUUCACAACUCACGCCACCUGGAACACCACAACGUUAUGGUGUGUCCGAAUGUGGUAACCGCACUUUAUUGGAUAUGGUGCGAUCUAUGAUGUCUCUUACUGAUUUACCAUUAUCGUUUUGGGGUUAUGCAUUAGAGACAACUGCAUUCACGUUAAAAGGGCACCAUCUAAAACCGUUGAGACGACACCGUAUGAACUAUGGUUUAGCAGUAAACCUAAGCUGUCGUUUCUUAAAGUUUGGAGUUGCGAUGCUUAUAUGAAAAAGGUUUUCAACCUGAUAAGCUCGAACCCAAAUCGGAGGAAUGCGUCUUCAUAGAAUACCCAAAGGAAACUGUUGGGUACUCCUUCUAUCAUAGAUCCAAAGGCAAAACAUUCGUUGCUAAGAAUGGAUCCUUUCUAGAGAAGGAGUUUCUCUCGAAAGAAGUGAGUGGGAGGAAAGUAGAACUUGAUGAGGUAACUGUACCUGCUCCCUUAUUUGAAAGUAGUUCAUCACAGAAAUUUGUUCCUGUGACUACUACACCAAUUAGUGAGGAAGUUAAUGAUGAUGAUCAUGAAACUUCAGAUUAAGUUACAACAGAACCUCGUAGGUCUUCCAGAGUAAGAUCCGCACCAGAGUGGUACGGUAAUCCUGUUCUGGAAGUUAUGUUACUAGACCAUGACGAACCUACGAACUAUGAAGAAGCGAUGGUGAGCCCAGAUUCCGCAAAAUGGCUUGAGGCCAUGAGAUCUGAGAUAAGAUCCAUGUAUGAAAACAAAGUAUGGACUUUGAUUGACUUGCCCAAUGACCGGCGAGACAUUGAGAUUAAAUGGAUCUUCAAGAGGAAGACGGACGCUGAUAGUGUUACUAUCUACAAAGAUAGAAUUGUCGCAAAAGGUUUUCGACAAGUUCAAGGUGUUGACUAUGAUGAGAGUUUUUCACUCUUAUCUAUGCUUAAGUCUGUCUGAAUCAUGUUAGCAAUUGCCGCAUUUUAUGAAAUCUGGCAAAUGGAUAAACAAAACUGCAUUCCUUAAUGGUUUUCUUAAAGAAGAGUUGUAUAUGAUGCAACCAGAAGGUUUUGUCAAUCCUAAAGGUGCUAACUAAUUGUGCAAGCUCCAGCGAUCCAUCUAUGGACUGGUGCAAGUAUCUCGGAGUUGGAAUAUACGCUUUGAUGAGUUGAUCAAAGCAUAUGGUUUUAUACAGACUUUUGAAGAAGCCUGUAUUUACAAGAAAGUGAGUGGGAGCUCUGUAGCAUUUCUAAUAUUAUAUGUGGAUGACAUAUUGUUAACUGGAAAUGAUAUGGAAAUUCUGGAUAGCAUGAAAGGAUACUUGAAUAAGAGUUUUUCAAAGCAAGACCUUGGUGAAGCUGCUUACACAUUGAGCAUCAAAAUCUAUAUAGAUAGAUCAAGACGCUUGAUAAGAUUUUUCAAUGAGUACAUACCUUGAUAAAUUUUUGAAAUAGUUCAAUAUGGAACAGUCAAAGAAGGAGUUCUUGCCUGUGAUGCAAAGGUAUGAAGUUGAGUAAGACUAAAAACCCGACCAUGGCAGAAAAUAGAAAAGAAUGAACAGUCAUUCCCUAUGCCUCAGUCAUAGGUUCUAUAAAGUAUUCUAUGCUAUGUACUAGACCUAUUGUAUACCUUGCUCUGAGUUUGGCAAAGGAAUACAAUUUUGAUCUAAAAGUAGAUCACUAGAACAGCGGUCAAGAAUAUCCUUAGUGAGGACUAAGGAGAUGUUUCUCGAUUAUGGAGGUGAUAAAAGAGCCAGUCGUAAAAAGUUACAACGAUGCAAGCUUUUACACCAAUCCAGAUGACUUUAAGUCUCAAUCUGGAUACAUAUUGCAAGUGGGAGCAAUUAGCUAGAGUAGCUCCGUGCAGAGCAUUGUGGACAUAGAAUAUUUGCAAAAUACAUACGGCUCUGAAUGUGACAGACUCGUUGACUAAACUUCUCUCAUGAGCAAAACAUGAUCAUACCUUAGUACUCUUUGGGUGUUAAUCACAUAGCCAUGUGAACUAGAUUAUUGACUCUAGUAAACCCUUUGGGCGUUGAUCACAUGACGAUGUGAACUAUGGGUAUUAAUCACAUAUAGAUGUGAAUAUUGGUGUUAAAUCACAUGGUGAUGUGAACUAGAUUAUUGACUCUAGUGCAAGUGGGAGACUGAAGGAAAUAUGCCCUAGAGGCAAUAAUAAAGUUAUUAUGUAUUUCCUUAUUUCAUGAUAAAUGUUUAUUAUUCAUGCUAGAAUUGUAUUAACCGGAAACAUAAUACAUGUGUGAAUACAUAGACAAACAGAGUGUCACUAGUAUGCCUCUACUUGACUAGCUCGUUAAUUAAAGAUGGUUAUGUUUCCUAACCAUAGACAUGACUUGACCCAUUCCGUUAGCUUAGCACUUGAUCGUUUAGUAUGUUGCUAUUGCUUUCUUCAUGACUUAUACAUGUUCCUGUAACUAUGAGAUUAUGCAACUCCCGUUUACCGGAGGAACACUUUGGGUACUACCAAACGUCACAACAUAACUGGGUGAUUAUAAAGGAGUACUACAGGUGUCUCCGAAGGUACAUGUUGAGUUGGCGUAUUUUGAGAUUAGGUUUUGUCACUCCGAUUGUCGGAGAGGUAUCUCUGGGCCCUCUCGGUAAUGCACAUCACUAUAAUCCUUGCAAGCAAUGUGACCAAUAAGUUGGUUACGGGAUGAUGCAUUACGUAACGAGUAAAGAGACUUGCCGGUAACGAGAUUGAACUAGGUAUUGGAUACCGAUGAUCAAAUCUCGGGCAAGUAACAUACCGAUGACAAAGGGAACAACGUAUGUUGUUAUGCGGUUUGACCAAUAAAGAUCUUCGUAGAAUAUGUAGGAACCAAUAUGGGCAUCCAGGUUCCGCUAUUGGUUAUUGACCGAGAAUAGUUCUAGGUCAUGUCUACAUAGUUCUCGAACCCGUAGGGUCCGCAUGCUUAACGUUACGAUGACAGUUUUAUUAUGAGUUUAUAAGUUUUGAUGUACCGAAGUUUUUUCAGAGUCCCGGAUGUGAUCACGGACAUGACGAGGAGUCUCGAAAUGGUCGAGACAUAAAGAUUGAUAUAUUGGACGACUAUAUUCGGACACCGGAAGUGUUCCGAACGUUGUCGGAGAAAACCGGAGUGCUGGAGGGUUACCGGAACCCCCCGGGGAGAGAUAAUGGGCCACAUGGGCCUUGGUGGAAAGAGAGAGGGGCGGCCAGGGUGGGCCACGCGCCCCCUCUCCCUCUGGUCCGAAUUGGACUAGGAGGGGGGGCGGGGCGGCGCCCCCCUCUUUCCUUCCCCCUUCUUCCCCUUCCUUCCCCCUCCUAGUAGGAGUAGGAAAAGGGGAGUCCUACUCCUACUAGGAGGAGGACUCCUCCUCCUUGGCGCGCCCACAAGGGCCGGCCGGCCUCCCCCUCCCUCCUUUAUAUACGGGGGCAGGGGGGCACCCCAGGACACACAAGUUGAUCUACGGAUCGUUCCUUAGCCGUGUGCGGUGCCCCCCUCCACCAUAUUCUACCUCGGUCAUAUCGUCGCGGAGUUUAGGCGAAGCCCUGCGCCGGAAGAACAUCAUCAUCGUCACCACGCCGUCGUGCUGACGGAACUCAUCCCCGAAGCUUUGCUGGAUCGGAGCCCGGGGAUCGUCAUCGAGCUGAACGUGUGCUAAACUCGGAGGUCCCGUACGUUCGGUGCUUGGAUCGGUUGGAUCGUGAAGAGUACGACUACAUCAACUGCGUUGUCAUAACGCUUCCGCAUACGGUCUACGAGGGUACGUGGACAACACUCUCCCCUCUUGUUGCUAUGUCAUCACCAUGAUCUUGCGUGUACGUAGAAUUUUUUUGAAAUUACUACGUUCCCCAACAUCAUAGUCAUGCUUCGAGGUAGCAAUGAUAUGGGGUUCCAAUCAAGGCCAGACUUUGGAUACACAAAUGAUCCAUCAGGAGCAACUUAUAAAAUAAGUCCUACAAUUUCCUCCAGGAAGAAUGGUUAUCCUUGCAAAAGAAAUUAUAAUCAUAGGUCCUCCAGCCAGGGGUGCUAGGCAUGACAUCAUAUUACCUGGUCAUCAAAGGACCAACAUCAUAACUCCUGGAAAGUUGUCCUAACCAUAAUAUCUGACCGAGAUUCUGAUCCGAUUGGUGUCAUGAUACCUCAGACUCAGGAUGUCCGAGAAGAAAAGGUGUGACACAAAUUGAUGAAAUGACAUUGCAAGAUUCUCAGGAAAUGAACUAUGGGAGUGGGUUCCUGAAACAAUAGUUCAUCAUUAAACCAAGGAGGGGAUGAGGAGGUUGCUGAUGGGCUCAGCGACAAUUCAACGAGAAUUCCAAACGGAUGGAUUUCCACACUUAUGUGAACAAGAAGAUGACACUUGUUAAUUCAAAUGAUAUAAUGUUGUAUGCUCGAGGAAAACAUACACCAUCAAGCAUUAGUUGUAAGGUGUGCCUGAAAUAUGACCUUAGGCAGCAGGGUCAAUGUUAGAGUGAUGAUUCAAUGACCAACAGUCUAAGAUUGAACUGUUGAUCAUUAACUUCAAAGCAAUAGGGUUGCUAGAAGUACAGAACUCAAGCAGCAUCGUUGGCAUAUCGGUAUCCUGGUUAAAAACAACACGGGGACCAAGGAAGAAUGGUGAUGGUGGGAAGUAUUAUCAUACCGAGAAUUUCUAAGAGGUGGAGCAAUCCACACAACAUCUUGGCAGAAAAGACAGUAAUACUUCAAGGCAGAACACAACACUAGCUGGACAGCAAGUUGUAUUCAUAAUAUGGACAAGUUCGCGAUGAAAGGAAGUCAAGGGUUUUGUUGAUGAUAAUAAAAAUCAUCAAGGGCAAGGAGGGAAUUUCUCAUCAUGAACACAGUUGGCAUCUCAGAAGAAGUCAAAGUGUUGAAGGUGAUCCAACACAUUUGCCGGGAGAUUUCAAGAGGAUGAAAUCAAACAACAACGGCAACAAGCGAGGGAAUGACGAAGUGGCAAGUUAUAGAAUCAAUAUAUAGGAUGCAAGCUCGGGACCAAAUUGCCUUUCAAGACAAGAAACAUGAUGUUGAAAGCUCGACGUAAGUCGUGCUCACAGACUGAAGAUUCGUGCACCAGAGAAGGAUGAGGUAGCACCGUCAAAGGUAGCAAGACCUGGAUGCAACCGAUAGUCUAGGAAUGACCAGAUUUAGUUCAGAAUUUCCUAGUAAAAAUACUAGGGGUAUUAGAUUUGUAGUGCGGAAUAAUUUCACUAGUCGGUGUCCUCGGUUGACAACAACGCAGAACCCGUAGAGUGAUUACGGCAAGGAAAUACAUUACUUCAACAAAGUUAGUAAGAUGUGGUGCAAUGGCAAGACAUCUCCGAGAUACCAGGGGUAAUACUCGAAGGUAGAACAAGAUAGAAGUAGAACCGGGUCAUUGACCUAUGACAUUAGAUACUUCAACCUUGCCAAAAAUAGACGAGGCACUGGAAUGAAUUCCCAUCAGAUAUAUCAGAUCAGGACAACAUGGUCGGAACCAUAACUGUAAGGAAUCAAUUUCAAGAAUACCGAAAGAAUCAUACAGCUAGAUAAUCAUUUUGCAAGAAGCUUCUCAGACGGUCUACAUCAUUUUCAUGGGCAUGAACACAAAGUUCAAGGUCGACUCCCACUUCUUCAAUGCAUAUCAUCUCAUUCACCUUUGGUUUGAUAUAACUGUAGUGUUGAAAGUUUAUCUGGUAGAAAACCGGAAGAGUAUGACUUGUGAAAACUUUCGGGUUCUCACGAAUUAGGGGAAGGCAUAGGUUCAACCCACCGGGAAACUUAGUAACCUAUACCACAAGUUUCAAAAGUAAAUACACAAGCUCGAAAGAAGAGCAUGGUUGGCCAAGUAGAGGAUACAAUUUACCAAAGGCACUAUGUAUCAGGGAAAGAACUCACAUGGUGAUUGAAUAUGAAGGACACGGUCGGAUAACAAUCCAACAAUGGAUAGGGCGAUCCACAACGGAGCUGAUGUGAGUAUCGGUACUCACUCGGAGGAAGAAAGAAUGCAGAGGAAUCAGAUUCAAGAAUCACCUGAUCAGUCUGAUGCUUAAAUAGAAAGAAAUUAUGGUUUCCAAAAUGAAGGAUCAGAAGCAGAUGCUCUGAUCAAGGAUGGAUAAGUUGAAAACACCUAGUUGGACAAUCAAUAAAGGUUUGAAUUGCCGAGAACCAACUCAUGUCCGGAAUGACGUCUGAGCCGGAAAGAGAAUCUUAAAAAGGAUAACAUGAUGACUGCGUGUGUACGCACACAUUGAAUCAAUAGGCUCAAAAUGACUAAGACAAGGGAUGUUAACGAGGACUACUAGUCAUAUGGAAUUACCCAUAAUGCAAGCAUGCAAGCGUUUCAAGAGUAACAGGCUGCAGAGGAUUUUUGAAAGAUCGAAAAGUAUUCCGAAGAAUCAUGUGAGACACAUGAACAAUUGAGAAGAAUGGAUCCUUGAUAAAUGUGAGGAAAAACCCGUAAGGGUUUUCACGCCAAAUAAAACUGCAACACAGUAAACUCAAAGGAUUUUCGGGACAACGACGAAUAUUUCGAGGCAUCAUGUAACAACAAGAGCAGCGAGGAAUGAUCAAGAGAAUGACAAGUGCAUACAGAUAUCCAUAGGUAUAUAUUGGUGACAGUGGAUUGCAAAGGUGAUGAGCACAAGGGUCUCGGGAAAAUAUCAAGGGAUAUCUUCAGAAUCUUCUGAUGCAAUAAGCAAUCAUCUGGAGUGAGGGAUCUCUGGGAGGAAGUAGUUACGAGAACCUAGAGUGGGCGUUAGUAAAAUCAUUUAACCAGAAUAGAGGAGAGAUCAGUGUCCCAGAGUAAAGGUCGAGGAGUAAAAGAUCCUAAUACCACCCAAUGGCGACGUGGGCCCGCAAGCCACACAUCCAAGUUAGUAAAACAGUUUUCGGCUUCUAGACUCAACUUCGGCCAAGGAGUUGGAAAGGGGAUUCCUAUAGGCAGUCGGCUCUGAUACCAACUUGUGACGCCGCCGAUUCAAUCAUACACUAAUCAUACACGCAAAUGUGUACGAUCAAGAUCAGGGAAUCACAGGAAGAUAUCACAACACAACUCUAAAAAUAAAAUAAGUCAUACAAGCAUCAUAAUACAAGCCAGGGGCCUCGAGGGCUCGAAUACAAGUGCUUGAUCAUAGACGAGUCAGCGGAAGCAACAAUAUCUGAGUACAGACAUAAGUUAAACAAGCUUGCCUUAAGAAGGCUAGCACAAACUGGGAUACGAAUCGGAAGUGGCGCAUGCCUCCUGUCUGGGAUCCUCCUAAACUACUCCUUGUCGUCGUCAGCGGCCUACACGCAAUAGUAGGCACCUCCAGUGUUGUAGGAGUCAUCGCCGUUGAUGUCGUCUGGCUCCUGGGAUCCAACGUCUGGUUGCAGCAUCCGAGAAGACGAGGAAAACGGGGGAAAAGAGGUAGCAAAGGAACCGUGAGUACUCAUCCAAAGUACUCGCAAGAAAGGAGCUACACUACAUAUGCAUGGGUAUAUGUGUAAGGAGGCAAUAUCAGUGAACUGAACUGCAGAAUGCCAGAAUAAGAUGGGGAUAGCUAGUCCUAUCAAAGACUACGCUUCUGGCAACCUCCGUCUUGCAUCAUCUAGAAGAGAGUAGAUUGAAGUAUCAUCGCAUAGCCUAAUCCUACCCGGCGAUCCUCCCCUUGUUGCCCUGUGGGAAAGCAAUCACCGGGAUGUCUGUGGAACUUGUGUGAGUGUGUUUUAUUGAGUAUCCGGUUCUAGUUGUCAUAAGGUCAAGGUACAACUCCCAGUCGUCCUGUUGAAGAUCACGUCUAUUCAAAUAGAUUAACUUCCCUACAGGGGUGCACCACAUUUCCCAACACACUCGAUCCCCUUUGGCCGGACACACUUUCCUGGGUCAUGCCCGGCCUCGGAAGAUCAACACGUCGCAGCCCCACCUAGGCACAACAAAGAGGUCAGCACGCUUGUCUAACUCCUAUGGCGCAGGGAUCAGCACGCCCUGCCUGUUCCGUUCACCACCCCUAGUGACCAGUGUUUAGCCCCAACGUCUGUCCCACUAGGUCCCAGCCUCAUUUCAUUGGUUAAUCUUAUGUAUAAUAAUGUGAUAAGAUAGUGAGGUGUAUGCAUAUCUAUAACCGUAUAUCAUACUUCUGAUUGUAGUGUAAGACAGUGAGGUGUAAUCUUGCCGUUUUAGUUCAGAGAGAUAAUUCGAUCACUUUAAGUUGUUGCAUGCUGUCAUAUGCACUAUGCUUAUGUUAUUUGCUACUAAACCAAUAGUGGAAUAUAGUUUUAUGUUUCAUGUAUUGUUUGGUGGCUUCUCAAUUUGUGCAUGAAAACAAACAUUGCUUCCGAGUGACUCUUCAUUAGGCUCUUGUUUUAUUCAUGGGUGAUGGAACAAUGAAUGCAAAGAUAAGCUUCCUUUGAUUUGGUUGCUCGGUUGACAAGAAUAUGCAUUCCUUUGUAUACCACCUUACCUCUCCUGUGAUGCUUUCUACAUUGUAGAUUCCCUGUAUUAGAUAACGGCCAGUGCUGGGGUUGAUGCUUUAGUACAGAAAUCAUUGCAUUCCAUAUAUCUCACAGUUUGUUUGUAUCAGAUUCAUGUGAGGCGGUCCCUAUGAAGUACAUCGACGAGACAGAUGGAUUACGCCAUCUAUUAGUAUGCUUAGUGAUUCUGUAGUUGGCUCUUUUUAUUAUGUUCAUGUUCUUAUUAACUCCUCUUAUGUGUUCUCGCAAUUGGUAUCGAACUUCAUGUCGAAUGGCUAUCUUUUGUGGUCGUAUGAACGGGUCGAGCUUGAUCCUGCCUUAUAAAUUGAUGUUGUCUUGUGCUCCAUUACGUUUUACUUUUAUCACAAUUGAAUGUUUCUUUAUUUUAUUAUUAUCAUAUAUAAGUGCAAAUGCUAUAUCUGGGUUCCUACUGACAUGGUGUUACAUGCUUUGGCAAAGUGCUUGGACCGGCACCCUCGCGCCAGGGCGCGAUCCUGAUCUAGUGUAUCUUGUAGCAAGCCAUGAGCCGAGGGUUGCUACAUGAUAAAUUGCUGACUAGGCAGUGUGUUUUCUUCAUUUUGGGCAGAUCACAAGUGUUUGACACCUCUCUCUACAUUGGGUAUCCUUUUCCACUUGAAUUUUAAAAUGCGCAGAAUGUGCUUUCCUUGUUGUUGCCUCGUCAUUCCAACAUGGAAUCAAAGCAAACCUAAUAUUACUACCUUUAAAAAUUGUCUCGCUGUCUAUGUCCAUAGCAUGCCCAUUGGACUGCACGGCAGAAGUGAAGGUGUGUGCCUAGCUGGCGGAGCAGACGUACUCGUGUGACCUCUGAUCUAAGAAUGACAUGUACUCUGUUGUGAGCCCAUGGUGCAUGUGGGUUGGAACGCUGCUUAGGAAAUCUAGACUUAUUUUGCAGGCAAGCCAAGAUGAGAUCUGUAGCCCAUGUGAUUUCCAUCAAAAUGACGGCCAGUUCAACUCUGGUUCGAAUCCUAAUAAAAAAAUAGACCAACAGUCCUAGAUGGAUAUGUCCAUCGCUAAAAACGCAGUUGUUGAAAGAGUCAAUAUGACUUUUAGCUAGAGGACGCCAACACCCCUCACUUCUUCUACAUGCACUAAACAAACCCUAGCUUAUCCAACUCAAUUUGCUUUAAGGUUUAUGUGUGAAAGAAGUAGUAUUAAAAUAGAACACCACACUCUUCAACCUGAGAAAUCAAUAGUCAAUUUACCUAUGGAUAUUAAAUCUAUAUACAUCGUACUUGAUGUGUGAAGUUGAUAAUACUUAUUAAACAUAUUUUAAAUUACAAUAUUUGGUGCUUCACAGCCUGUUAUGAAAUUAUUGUUCACCCAUCUAGUGCAAUAAAAAGUACGUGCGAGAGAGAGAUAGAGAGAGAGAGAUUAAAGUACAUUUUGUCCUGAUGUCCACCAUAGUUCCACGAUCAGUACACCUAGGAGGAGACAAUCAAAAUAUGGACAGAACAUAAAUAUUUAAUAUGUAAAUGGUAGGUAACAAAUCCAACCACAAAAUUGUGCAAGCAAGCCACUAGCUAUUUAUUGAAUAUUAAAAUAACAUAGUUGAUUUCUAAAACAUACAAAAAUUAUUAUCUCAUCAACGCAUAAUUAUUUUGAGAACCAUAAGGUUGAGAUUUAUCCACCCAAAAACUAUUGUGUUGUUGUUGCUGGUGUGCAAUUAAUCUUGCAGGGACAGUUGAUGAAGCAUUCUCCAAGAUCUGGCCAGCACAAGUUAUCUAUUUGACAGCAGAAUUCCCGUCCUGGGAGCUGGUGCCCAUCUUUAUAACAAGGGGGUCUAGUUACAUGG